AUUGAACGCUGGCGGCAGGCCUAACACAUGCAAGUCGAACGAGUGGCGGACGGGUGAGUAAUGUCUGGGAAACUGCCCGAUGGAGGGGGAUAACUACUGGAAACGGUAGCUAAUACCGCAUACCAUCGGAUGUGCCCAGAUGGGAUUAGCUUGUAGGUGAGGUAACGGCUCACCUAGGCGACGAUCCCUCGCUGGUCUGAGAGGAUGACCCGCCACACUGGAACUGAGACUCGUUCCAGACUGCUGCGGGGGACAGCGGUGGGGAAUAUUGCACAAUGGGCGCAAGCGUGAGGCAGCCAGGCCGCGUGUAUGAAGAAAGCCAUCGGGUUGUAAAGUACUUUCAGCGGGGAGGCGUUACCAACAGAAUAAGCACCGGCGAACUUCGUGCCAGCAGCCGCGGUAAUUC
rnacentral:rRNA from 1 species